rnacentral:lncRNA from 1 species
UUGUUAUUCAGAUCAAGUCAGCAUUUUGCAAAAACUGUGACAGCGGUGUCAUCACUCUGUUCUCUAUCAAAUCCCUCCCCAAAUCCCUACAGCUGCUUUGAUGGAUGGAGUUCUGACGGUUGAGACUAUAUGACCAAUCAUCAUGAAAUCUGUCCCAGCAUCAUGAAGACUUUGAUGCUAUGUUGGUUUGAAUUUUAGGAGUGGAAUACAGGGCUGGUACUUAUUGGUUCCUCUUUGCUGUAAUGGGGGAAGCUGUGCACUUUGACAACAGAAACUCACAGGUGUUGACGUCAAGAAUAGAAAUGAAGGUCAUUGCUCCUAUCCAGCAGUAAGUAUUUUGGAAGAACAGACUAAGGAAGGAGCUAAUGAUACUCCUGGCCUAAAAGAAGAUCAAGUCCUUUUUCAAUGAAUAAUUUGACCUGAAUUAAAUCCUUCGUUGUUA